rnacentral:lncRNA from 1 species
GUGCCAUUCUCCACAACUUAUCCUUGCAGCAUUUUCACCUCAUAAAGUUGUAACCUUUUACUUUGAAAUGCUCUAGCAUUGGUAUAUUUUUCCUAAUAGUUUCACUUAUCCAUCUCUUUCCAGUGCUUGUGCGAAGAUGGGUUGUUUGAGCUUGGGUCAGAAGUGUCACGGGCAAGCUCUGAUACAUGGUGUUGAUGGAGUUUUUCGGUAAAGAACUCUUUGAUUCAUUUUUAUGCUUGUUAUGGUCUCAUGGAAAUUGCUGAGAAAUUCUAUGAUAACAUGCCUGUGAGGGACUUGUUGUCCUGAAAUACAAUUGUAGAUAGGUUUGCUAAGGUUAGCAAGAUGGGUCGAGGGCAUCACUUGUUUGAUGCAAUGCCUGAGAGGAAUUUGGUUUCUUGGAAUGUUAUGAUCAAAGGUUAUUUGAAUUUCAGAAAUCCCAAAAAUGCAUUGAAAUUGUUUCGACAAAUGGUAAGGAUGAGAUUUAACUGCAAUGGUAUGAUGAUGUUAAGCGAGCGUGCUUACUGCUUGUGGGAAGUCUAUUAGACUACCGGAAGGAUAAUCAAUUCAUGGGUUUCUUGUCAUGGUGUUUUUGAAUUUGAGUUUGAUCAUAGAUAUUUAUAGUAAAUGUGGAAUGGUGAAUGUAGCGCAUGUAAUUUUUGAUAGGAUGUUGAUCAAGAACAUGAUGUGUUGGAAUGCAAUGGUAUUGGAGGACUGAAUUCAUGGGAAUCCAAAUGAUUGGCUUAGUUUGUAUACAGAAAUGGUAGACAAAACAAGGGCACCAGGGGAUUCAAAUAAAAAUAUCGACAAGGAUGUAAAUUUAAAUUAGCAUCAUAAAAUUCUCACAGAUGAAUUUACCUUUAUUUGCAUUUUAUGUGCCUGUACCCGAAAAGGUUUGUUGGUAGGGGGAGAAAGUGGUUGACGUGUUUCACGUGAAGCACAAUUUUGCACAUUACUGGUGCAUGGUUAAUCUUAUGGCCAAUGUUGGUCUAGUGCAAGCGGCCAUGGAUAUCUUAAGGAACAUAUCGAUUGACAAUGAUAAGUCUCAAGAAACCUCAUUUUGGUCAGGAACUCUUGGCUCAUCUCAUUUUCAAGGGGAUCUUAUUUCUAAAAAAAAAUUAAUUGAGCAAGAUCCUCAUAAUUUUUCAUACUACAUGUUGCUAGUUAAAGUUUAUGUUGUAGCAUUAAAUGGGAAGAAGUUUCUACGACGCGAGAUAUGAUGAAGGAGGUAGGAAUUAGAAGAGUUCCAAGUUGUAAUCUUGAGGAUUUAACGGACAUAAUCAAAUGCCAUUAAAUUGGGAGAUAGUUAUCAACAGGUUACAC